GUCGGCCUGCGCGGAAGAUGUAACGGGGCUAAACCAUGCACCGAAGCUGCGGCAGCGACACUCAGGUGUUGUUGGGUAGGGGAGCGUUCUGUAAGCCUGCGAAGGUGGCCUGUGAGGGUUGCUGGAGGUAUCAGAAGUGCGAAUGCUGACAUAAGUAACGAUAAAGCGGGUGAAAAGCCCGCUCGCCGGAAGACCAAGGGUUCCUGUCCAACGUUAAUCGGGGCAGGGUGAGUCGACCCCUAAGGCGAGGCCGAAAGGCGUAGUCGAUGGGAAACGGGUUAAUAUUCCCGUACUUGGUGUUACUGCGAAGGGGGGACGGAGAAGGCUAUGUUGGCCGGGCGACGGUUGUCCCGGUUUAAGCGUGUAGGUGUGUGUUCCAGGUAAAUCCGGUUCACUUUAACACUGAGGCGUGAUGACGAGGCACUACGGUGCUGAAGCAACAAAUGCCCUGCUUCCAGGAAAAGCCUCUAAGCAUCAGGUAACAUCAAAUCGUACCCCAAACCGACACAGGUGGUCAGGUAGAGAAUACCAAGGCGCUUGAGAGAACUCGGGUGAAGGAACUAGGCAAAAUGGUGCCGUAACUUCGGGAGAAGGCACGCUGACACGUAGGUGAAGUGAUUUACUCAUGGAGCUGAAGUCAGUCGAAGAUACCAGCUGGCUGCAACUGUUUAUUAAAAACACAGCACUGUGCAAACACGAAAGUGGACGUAUACGGUGUGACGCCUGCCCGGUGCCGGAAGGUUAAUUGAUGGGGUCAGCGCAAGCGAAGCUCCUGAUCGAAGCCCCGGUAAACGGCGGCCGUAACUAUAACGGUCCUAAGGUAGCGAAAUUCCUUGUCGGGUAAGUUCCGACCUGCACGAAUGGCGUAAUGAUGGCCAGGCUGUCUCCACCCGAGACUCAGUGAAAUUGAACUCGCUGUGAAGAUGCAGUGUACCCGCGGCAAGACGGAAAGACCCCGUGAACCUUUACUAUAGCUUGACACUGAACAUUGAGCCUUGAUGUGUAGGAUAGGUGGGAGGCUUUGAAGUGUGGACGCCAGUCUGCAUGGAGCCGGCCUUGAAAUACCACCCUUUAAUGUUUGAUGUUCUAACGUGGACCCGUGAUCCGGGUUGCGGACAGUGUCUGGUGGGUAGUUUGACUGGGGCGGUCUCCUCCUAAAGAGUAACGGAGGAGCACGAAGGUUGGCUAAUCCUGGUCGGACAUCAGGAGGUUAGUGCAAUGGCAUAAGCCAGCUUGACUGCGAGCGUGACGGCGCGAGCAGGUGCGAAAGCAGGUCAUAGUGAUCCGGUGGUUCUGAAUGGAAGGGCCAUCGCUCAACGGAUAAAAGGUACUCCGGGGAUAACAGGCUGAUACCGCCCAAGAGUUCAUAUCGACGGCGGUGUUUGGCACCUCGAUGUCGGCUCAUCACAUCCUGGGGCUGAAGUAGGUCCCAAGGGUAUGGCUGUUCGCCAUUUAAAGUGGUACGCGAGCUGGGUUUAGAACGUCGUGAGACAGUUCGGUCCCUAUCUGCCGUGGGCGCUGGAGAACUGAGGGGGGCUGCUCCUAGUACGAGAGGACCGGAGUGGACGCAUCACUGGUGUUCGGGUUGUCAUGCCAAUGGCACUGCCCGGUAGCUAAAUGCGGAAGAGAUAAGUGCUGAAAGCAUCUAAGCACGAAACUUGCCCCGAGAUGAGUUCUCCCUGAGACUUUAGGUCUCCUGAAGGAACGUUGAAGACGACGACGUUGAUAGGCCGGGUGUGUAAGCGCAGCGAUGCGUUGAGCUAACCGGUACUAAUGAACCGUGAGGCUUAACCUUACA
rnacentral:rRNA from 1 species